rnacentral:lncRNA from 1 species
AGGGGGGCAAUCCCCAAACCCAUCCAAGUUAGAAGAAGCAGGAGCCGGAAGCUAGAAGUGACCUUGAGAAAUUGAGCCAGUUGCUCCUUCAUAGAUCUGCAGAGAGCAUCAGAUUUUUUGAAUAACACACAGGAUGAUGUUUGGAACUAACUUUGUCCUGAUUUUAAGGAGCACGAUGAACCAGAAGUGAGAGGCUGGAGAGGUGGGAGAAACAGAAGUCCUGGAGAAGCUGCAAUCUAGAUCCUCAAUGACUGAGAGCACAUGAGGCAACCUCAACUUUUUAAAGGUUGCUUUUGAAAACCAGGGGAGCUGUUUUAUUCUUCUGAUAAUUAUAAGAAAAACAAGAAAAGAGAAGAGAAGCGUGUCCCUCUUUACCUCCAUAGACCUACUGCCACCCCUGGAAACACACAGGCUCUGUUGCCAGGACCAAGGCUGAAAAAGCCGUUGUGGUGUGCAGUCGUGCAGCUGCAGAGAGAUGUGGACUGUUAUAAUAAAUACAAACAGCUGAUUCUACAAUGCAGGUUCUUACUUUGGGGAGAAGGAAACCUCGUAUGGUUUUUGGUUUCGAUUUUUUUCUAUAACCAGAUGUCUCAUCUUCGGUUACUUUUUCCUGAUAAUAUCUAUUGCUAUUGAGUGUUCUAGAUGUUUUUUUCUACCUUUGAUAUGCCAGACAGAAUGAAGUAUAAUCUUUCUCCCUUGGUGGCAAUUUAAACAAAGAGACAUAUUUCUUAUCUAUUUACUAGUGGUUAAUAUAGCAGUUAAAUGUCUCCAACUUUUUAACUCUUUUUCUGUCCCUUAUUCCUCAGAUGCUGGAAAAACAAAUAAUCUAUUGUUCUAGAUGAUUCCCUGGACUUUAAAGCCACGCCAUAAAUAUCAUUAUUGUGCCUUGUCUGAAAGGACAGAAAAUUUCCAGUAUUUUUGUAAAAAUAGAUAGAUGGAUUUUUGCUCAUGAGGCAUAAUUUUGUUCUUCCAAUAGCUGGAAUUACUCUUUUGUUAAAGAAGUCAAUUUCAUUUUGUUUUCAAAACAAAAAGCAUGCACAAAGACAUUCUUCUGGCAUAGAAAUCCAUCAUAUCAGAAAUAGUUUUAAUCAAGGCAAAGAAGAAGCCUUUAAUGGCAAAAGCGUAUUUAUCAUCUAAUCAUUUAUAAAAGGGUUUUAUUUGACUUGGCUUGGAAAUUGUUUUAGCAGAUUGUAUGAAACAAGGCACCUCCUGCAGACUGAAUCAUAACACAUACAUUUGUCCAAUAUUCUUAGCUAGUUUUAAACAUUUGAUGUGUGUAUGCACAAUCGAAAGGAAGUCAGAAAGAGCCUUUAUUUUUAAUUAUUAUACUCAU